rnacentral:rRNA from 1 species
GAUGAACGCUGGCGGCGUGCCUAAUACAUGCAAGUCGAGCGAACAGACGAGGAGCUUGCUCCUUUGACGUUAGCGGCGGACGGGUGAGUAACACGUGGGUAACCUACCUAUAAGACUGGGAUAACUUCGGGAAACCGGAGCUAAUACCGGAUAAUAUUUCGAACCGCAUGGUUCGAUAGUGAAAGAUGGCUUUGCUAUCACUUAUAGAUGGACCUGCGCCGUAUUAGCUAGUUGGUAAGGUAACGGCUUACCAAGGCAACGAUACGUAGCCGACCUGAGAGGGUGAUCGGCCACACUGGAACUGAGACACGGUCCAGACUCCUACGGGAGGCAGCAGUAGGGAAUCUUCCGCAAUGGGCGAAAGCCUGACGGAGCAACGCCGCGUGAGUGAUGAAGGUCUUCGGAUCGUAAAACUCUGUUAUUAGGGAAGAACAAACGUGUAAGUAACUGUGCACGUCUUGACGGUACCUAAUCAGAAAGCCACGGCUAACUACGUGCCAGCAGCCGCGGUAAUACGUAGGUGGCAAGCGUUAUCCGGAAUUAUUGGGCGUAAAGCGCGCGUAGGCGGUUUUUUAAGUCUGAUGUGAAAGCCCACGGCUCAACCGUGGAGGGUCAUUGGAAACUGGAAAACUUGAGUGCAGAAGAGGAAAGUGGAAUUCCAUGUGUAGCGGUGAAAUGCGCAGAGAUAUGGAGGAACACCAGUGGCGAAGGCGACUUUCUGGUCUGUAACUGACGCUGAUGUGCGAAAGCGUGGGGAUCAAACAGGAUUAGAUACCCUGGUAGUCCACGCCGUAAACGAUGAGUGCUAAGUGUUAGGGGGUUUCCGCCCCUUAGUGCUGCAGCUAACGCAUUAAGCACUCCGCCUGGGGAGUACGACCGCAAGGUUGAAACUCAAAGGAAUUGACGGGGACCCGCACAAGCGGUGGAGCAUGUGGUUUAAUUCGAAGCAACGCGAAGAACCUUACCAAAUCUUGACAUCCUUUGACCCUUCUAGAGAUAGAAGUUUCCCCUUCGGGGGACAAAGUGACAGGUGGUGCAUGGUUGUCGUCAGCUCGUGUCGUGAGAUGUUGGGUUAAGUCCCGCAACGAGCGCAACCCUUAAGCUUAGUUGCCAUCAUUAAGUUGGGCACUCUAAGUUGACUGCCGGUGACAAACCGGAGGAAGGUGGGGAUGACGUCAAAUCAUCAUGCCCCUUAUGAUUUGGGCUACACACGUGCUACAAUGGACAAUACAAAGGGCAGCGAAACCGCGAGGCCAAGCAAAUCCCAUAAAGUUGUUCUCAGUUCGGAUUGUAGUCUGCAACUCGACUACAUGAAGCUGGAAUCGCUAGUAAUCGUAGAUCAGCAUGCUACGGUGAAUACGUUCCCGGGUCU